ensembl:lncRNA
GUGUAAACGUACAGCAGGACGCAUGCAGGACGAACAAGAAAGAAGGAGAGGAAACACUAAAGUGGAGGGUGUGUUGAAAAGGAUCAAAGGUUUGCUUGUCAAAUGUCCACAAAAGGUUGGAUAAGACAGACGCGUGGAUUGGACGGAACGGGGUGCAACAAAAGAAAUCACAUUCUGACUGGGAGUCUGUGAACUAUGGAGGAGAGGAAGAAGAAAGAGAAUGAAGAUGAGAAGCAGAAAAGGAAGCUGGAGGAGGAAAGAGAAGACAUGGUUUCGGUGGAGAGACGCGAACCACAGAUGGAGCUGCAGGCGUCCAACACUGAGGAUGACGAGGAAGAAGGAAGCACUGCUCUUAUCACAGCCUGCCGUAAGGGCUUUACUGAGGUGGCGCAGCAGCUACUGAGGACUGGGGCUGAUCUAACACUGUGCAACCACAGACAGCAGACAGCGCUGCACGUCAGCUCACCUGAGCUCCAGGGGAAACUGGUGAGGUGGAUGUCAAGGCCUCAUCUUCCCCUUCAGGCACAGCUGCUGCAGGCUGCCUGGCAGGGAGACCUGCACUCUGUUCAGCACCUGUUGACUCACACCGACAGUGUGGAUGUGAAUAUUCCAAACGGCGACGGUGUGACAGCUGUGAUGCUCGCCGUCAGGGACAUUGACCUUUUUGAGGGCAUAGCCACACAGUUGCCAUGGGAGCACAGACCUGUGGAAGUGAUGAAGGAACUGCUGGGACUUUCAGCUGAUCUUCAGCCACGAGACCACAACGGCUGCUCUGCUCUCCACUACGCUGCUCACAUCAACAGCUGUCUGACGGAGGAGAUCAUUCAUAUUCUGGUGGAGGCUCUAAAUCACACAGUGGAGUAGCAGUAUUAAGUAGAAGAAAACGGACAUACACACAUAAAGUACAAGCAUCCCAAGAUUGUACUUCUGUGCAGUCCUUCAGUAAAUAGUUACUUUCUGCACCUGGCAGACAGAUAAAGUCAGCAAUUAGUUUUGUACACAGUGGAGAAUUCACCUGCUAAAGAUCCAGAUAUUUCCCUCAAGUGCUGGUGGAUACCAAGAACGGAUCUGAAAGG